rnacentral:rRNA from 1 species
AUUGAACGCUGGCGGUAGGCCUAACACAUGCAAGUCGAACGCGAAAGUCCUUCGGGAUGAGUAGAGUGGCGGACGGGUGAGUAACGCGUAGGAAUCUAUCCUGUAGUGGGGGAUAACGUUUCGAAAGGAACGCUAAUACCGCAUACGCCCUACGGGGGAAAGCGGGGGAGUCUUCGGACCUCGUGCUAGAGGAGGAGCCUGCGUCGGAUUAGCUAGUUGGUGAGGUAAAGGCUCACCAAGGCGACGAUCCGUAGCUGGUCUGAGAGGAUGAUCAGCCACACCGGAACUGAGACACGGUCCGGACUCCUACGGGAGGCAGCAGUGGGGGAAUAUUGCGCAAUGGGCGAAAGCCUGACGCAGCCAUACCGCGUGUGUGAAGAAGGCCUUCGGGUUGUAAAGCACUUUCAGUGGGGAGGGAAAAGACUGGUGGGCUAAUAUCCAUCGGCCGUGGACGCUACCCACCAGAAGAAGCACC